GGCCUCACUAACCUCUCCUCCUCUGAGCCGGGUCUCCCUCGCACUGGACUCAGUUUCACUGUCCUACUAACACGUAGAAAAUCAAUGGCAUUACAUCAGGAGCUGUUGGUGAUUGGUGGUGUGGCUGCCAAAGACCAGCUGGCUGCUCUGGAACAGGGGAUCGACAUUGUGGUGGGAACACCCGGCAGACUGGACAACGACCUCAUAUCCACUGGGAAGCUCAGUCUGGCCCAAGUCCGCUUUCUCGUCCUGGAUGAGUGUGUAUGGUGUGAUACCAUGUUUGCCCGAACCAAGGCAGAGGCUGCUACAACACCCGGCUGAAGGAGGAUGGAGGUUGCACCAUCUGGUACAACGAGAAAGAGCUCCUGUCAGAUAUUGAGGAGCAUCUAAAGUGCACAAUCACCCAGUGUGAGCCAGACAUCAAAGUACCUGUGGAUGAUUUUGAUGGAAAGGUCAGCUAUGGUCAGCGCAGAGCAUUGGGAGGUGGUAACUACAAGGGUCACGUGGAUAUUCUGGCCCCGACGGUCCAGGAGCUGGCUAACCUCGAGAGAGAAGCCCAAAGUCUUUAGCAACCAAGCAACAUUGUGCUUUUAUUUUUCAACAUAUAAACAUAACUUAGAAAUUAUUUACAUUUAAUGUAUACUACAAGGUGGCAAAAUGCAUUUCACUACUAAUGACAAACUUCUCUACAGUCUGUGUCCACAGUAUAAAGUUCAGCAUUAGUGCUUUGGAAGUGAUUGUAAGCAUUUAGUAUGCAGAACUCCUUGGCCUUCACUACUCUGCUUGAAAGAAUAGUAUGGAAUGGAAUCCUUGACAUGUAAUGCAAAACCUGAUUUGUUGGAUUUUUGUGUUGUUGUUUUCUGAUUG